rnacentral:rRNA from 1 species
GAUGAACGCUGGCGGCGUGCUUAACACAUGCAAGUCGAACGAUGAAGCCCAGCUUGCUGGGUGGUUUAGUGGCGAACGGGUGAGUAAACGUCAGGUACCUGGCCUUGCUCUUGGGCUAAGACUGGGGAACUGGGCCUAAUCCAGGAUAUGAUAUUAUAUUGCAUCGCGGGGGGCGGUAAUAUUUAGUGGUUUUUGUUUGACUUGUGGGCUAUUAGCUUGCUGGUUAGGUAAUUGGUAACCAAAGCGACGACGGGUAGCCCGCCUGGGAGGGGGACCGGCCACACUGGGACUGAGGCACGGCGCAGACUCCUACGGGAGGCAGCAGUGGGGAAUAUUGCACAAUGGGCGCAAGCCUGAUGCAGCGACGCCGCGUGAGGGAUGACGGCCUUCGGGUUGUAAACCUCUUUCAGUAGGGAAGAAGCGGGAGUGACGGUACCUGCAGAAGAAGCGCCGGCUAACUACGUG